CCUGGUCCUAGAAGUGUUGCACAUGUGGGACUGCUGUGUUACAUGUGUGCCAAUAGGUUGCAGAGAGAAGAGAGGCUAUGUCUAAGCUCAGCUUUCUGAACUAUGAACAUCUGAAUGAUGUGCAGUCUGACAUU
ensembl:snoRNA Gm24987 small nucleolar RNA SNORA17